AGAAUCAACGCUGGCGGCGUGCCUCAGACAUGCAAGUCGAACGCGAAAGUCCCCUUCGGGGGACAAGUAGAGUGGCGCACGGGUGAGUAACACGUAGGUAAUCUACCUUCGGAUGGGGAAUAACAACCGGAAACGGUUGCUAAUACCGCAUAAUGCAGCGGCACCUAAUGGUGACAGUUGUUAAAGCGGGGGAUCGAAAGACCUCGCGUCGGAAGAGGAGCCUGCGGCGGAUUAGCUAGUUGGUAAGGUAAUGGCUUACCAAGGCUACGAUCC
rnacentral:rRNA from 1 species